UACAGAGGGGGCAAGCGUUAUUCGGAAUUAUUGGGCGUAAAGGGCGCGUAGGCGGCCUGGCAAGUGGAAGGUGAAAUCCCUCGGCUUAACCGAGGAACUGCCCUCCAAACUGCUUGGCUUGAGUCCGGGAGAGGUGAGUGGAAUUCCCAGUGUAGCGGUGAAAUGCGUAGAUAUUGGGAGGAACACCAGUGGCGAAGCCGGCUCACUGGACCGGAACUGACGCUGAUGCGCGACAGCAUGGGGAGCAAACAGG
rnacentral:rRNA from 1 species